rnacentral:rRNA from 1 species
AAAAAAGGUAAGCUACUAAGAGCGAAUGGUGGAUGCCUUGACUGGUAAAGGCGAUGAAGGACGUACUAGACUGCGAUAAGCUACGGGGAGCUGUCAAGAAGCUUUGAUCCGUAGAUUUCCGAAUGGGGCAACCCAAUGUAUAGAGAUAUACAUUACCUAUAUAGGAGCGAACGAGGGGAAUUGAAACAUCUUAGUACCCUCAGGAAAAGAAAUCAAUAGAGAUUGCGUCAGUAGCGGCGAGCGAAAGCGCAAGAGGGCAAACCCAGUGCUUGCACUGGGGGUUGUAGGACUGCAAUGUGCAAGAGGUGAGUUUAGCAGAACAUUCUGGAAAGUAUAGCCAUAGAGGGUGAUAGUCCCGUAUGCGAAAAACAAACCUUAGCUAGCAGUAUCCUGAGUAGGGCGGGACACGAGAAAUCCUGUCUGAAGCUGGGUCGACCACGAUCCAACCCUAAAUACUAAUACCAGAUCGAUAGUGCACAAGUACCGUGAGGGAAAGGUGAAAAGAACUGAGGUGAUCAGAGUGAAAUAGAACCUGAAACCAUUUGCUUACAAUCAUUCAGAGCCCUAUGUAGCAAUACAGGGUGAUGGACUGCCUUUUGCAUAAUGAGCCUGCGAGUUGUGGUGUCUGGCAAGGUUAAGCAAACGCGAAGCCGUAGCGAAAGCGAGUCUGAAUAGGGCGCUUAGUCAGAUGCUGCAGACCCGAAACGAAGUGAUCUAUCCAUGAGCAAGUUGAAGCUAGUGUAAGAACUAGUGGAGGACUGAACCCAUAGGCGUUGAAAAGCCCCGGGAUGACUUGUGGAUAGGGGUGAAAGGCCAAUCAAACUUCGUGAUAGCUGGUUCUCUCCGAAAUAUAUUUAGGUAUAGCGUUGUGUCGUAAUAUAAGGGGGUAGAGCACUGAAUGGGCUAGGGCAUACACCAAUGUACCAAACCCUAUCAAACUCCGAAUACCUUAUAUGUAAUCACAGCAGUCAGGCGGCGAGUGAUAAAAUCCGUCGUCAAGAGGGAAACAACCCAGACUACCAGCUAAGGUCCCUAAAUCUUACUUAAGUGGAAAACGAUGUGAAGUUACUUAAACAACCAGGAGGUUGGCUUAGAAGCAGCCAUCCUUUAAAGAAAGCGUAAUAGCUCACUGGUCUAGUGAUUUUGCGCGGAAAAUAUAACGGGGCUAAAGUAAGUACCGAAGCUGUAGACUUGCGCACAACUUAGAUUAUUUAAGUUUAGAAUAUGAGAAACUAAGUUAUAUGUUUAGUUAUAUUUUUACUGAUUUUUAUAGAGUAAAGAUAGAAAUAAAACUUAGUAAAAUCAGUAAAAAUAUUCUUAGAUUAAAGUUAAGUAGUUUAAGUUGUGUGCAAGUGGUAGGAGAGCGUUCUAUUUGCGUCGAAGGUAUACCGGUAAGGAGUGCUGGAGCGAAUAGAAGUGAGCAUGCAGGCAUGAGUAGCGAUAAUUAAUGUGAGAAUCAUUAACGCCGUAAACCCAAGGUUUCCUACGCGAUGCUCGUCAUCGUAGGGUUAGUCGGGUCCUAAGUCGAGUCCGAAAGGGGUAGACGAUGGCAAAUUGGUUAAUAUUCCAAUACCAACAUUAGUGUGCGAUGGAAGGACGCUUAGGGCUAAGGGGGCUAGCGGAUGGAAGUGCUAGUCUAAGGUCGUAGGAGGUUAUACAGGCAAAUCCGUAUAACAAUACUCCGAGAACUGAAAGGCUUUUUGAAGUCUUCGGAUGGAUAGAAGAACCCCUGAUGCCAUCGAGCCAAGAAAAGUUUCUAAGUUUAGCUAAUGUUGCCCGUACCGUAAACCGACACAGGUGGGUGGGAUGAGUAUUCUAAGGCGCGUGGAAGAACUCUCUUUAAGGAACUCUGCAAAAUAGCACCGUAUCUUCGGUAUAAGGUGUGGUUCGCUUCGUAUUAGGAUUUACUCCGAAAGCGAAGAAACUUACAACAAAGAGUCCCUCCCGACUGUUUACCAAAAACACAGCACUCUGCUAACUCGUAAGAGGAUGUAUAGGGUGUGACGCCUGCCCGGUGCUCGAAGGUU